UACGUAGGGCGCAAGCGUUAUCCGGAAUUAUUGGGCGUAAAGAGCUCGUAGGCGGUUUGUCGCGUCUGCCGUGAAAGUCCGGGCUCAACUCCGGAUCUGCGGUGGGUACGGGCAGACUAGAGUGAUGUAGGGGGAGACUGGAAUUCCUGGUGUAGCGGUGAAAAUGCGCAGAUAUCAGGAGGAACACCGGUGGCGAAGGCGGGUCUCUGGGCAAUAACUGACGCUGAGGAGCGAAAGCGUGGGGAGCGAACAGGA
rnacentral:rRNA from 1 species